UACGUAGGGGUCGAGCGUUGUCCGGAGUUACUGGGCGUAAAGCGUGCGCAGGCGGCUCAUUGCGCCCGGCGUGAAAGCCCCCGGCUCAACCGGGGAGGGUCGUCGGGGACGGGUGAGCUUGAGGGUAUCAGGGGUUGGUGGAAUUCCCGGUGUAGUGGUGAAAUGCGUAGAGAUCGGCAGGAACACCCAGGGGGAAACCAGUCGACUGGGCAUCUACUGACGCUGAGGUGCGAGAGCGUGGGGAGCGAACCGG
rnacentral:rRNA from 1 species